rnacentral:misc_RNA from 1 species
AAGUCGUAACAAGGUUUCCGUAGGUGAACCUGCGGAAGGAUCAUUAAAGAGUUGUCCUGCACCCCUCUGGGGAUGAGGUCUACGGGUGAGGCUCGGAGUUAAACCCCGGGUCCCGGUCCUCUUCCACCUGCUCGUAUACCCUUCCACGUUGCUUUGGCGGGCCUGGGCACGUCCUUCUGGCACCCUGCCGGCGUCGGACUUCGUCCCCGCCGGCGAGCGCCCGCCAGAGACCCUUACCAUUCUGAUUUUUUCAAUGUCUGUCUGAGCAAAAACAUCAAAAUAAAUAAAA